AAGGACUCCUAGUGGGAUAUUGUGAAAGCAGAACGCUCUCUCGGGACUGCCUUGUUUUCCAGCACGAACAGUUUGUUUUCCUGAUAGCAUCUGGUUAAUUUUACGUCUCUUGUUGCAGGGCACCCCAGGCGUGGCUAACGAGAAGCUCCUCCUUUCGAGACGAUGGUGAACUUGAAGAUAGUGGUGAAUUUCCCACUGUUCUGGAAGAUGACAGCUGAGCUCCAGCAGUGUGGAUCGAGGACAGGGAAUGUCUUGCAGUGUGGGAUGAGGAGUGGGAACAUCCUGUGGCACAGGAAGAAGGAGAGCAAAGAUCUCACAGUGUGGGAAGAGGAGGGCAGACAGCCAGCAGCUUGGGACCAGGACGGGGAACAUCCAGUGGAGUGGGAAGAGGACAGCAAACAUCACACCAUGGGGGAAGGGGAGCAACAACAUCUCUCUGCGUGGGAAGAUCACCAUGAACAUCCCGCUGUUUGGGAAGAGGAUGGAAACACUGUGAGCGUGGGGGGAGCCUGCCAAAAAACACACUGAAGUUGAGCCAGUUGGCCAAGGCUGCCUUGUUGAUGAAGAUCUCUCGUUGGUGAUGGAGUACAUGGGUGGAGGAACUUCACAGGAUGUUGUUAGACAGACAUGUCUGGCUGAAGGAGGGAUGGCAGCUGUGAGGUGAGGGCUCCAGCUUGUGCUGCCCAUGGCUUGGACGUGAUGGUUUUUCAAAGAGAUGGUGAGAACAGGAAUGGCUUCAUGCUCAGAGCUUUGUUUCUCUGUUGUUUUUAUGCCCUGGAGAAGAGAGAGCCUCUUAAAUGAACUGCCUGUCAGUAUCUCUACACUUCUGCUCUUCUAGUACUCUUUCAUACUAUUGUGCUGUCACUUUUUCUUUUGAUUCUGUUCGCUGUUCUCAACUUUGCCUUGGACCCUUUGUCUGGAGUUUGUCUGCACUGCACUCCUUGCUGGUCAAAGCAAAGUUGCUGGUGGCAUAAUUGUAAACUGUCCUUUCUUCUGUUGUAUAUUCAGGUUGUUAAUUUUUAUCCUUGUAUUUUUUGAAUAAAAACUCUGUUAAACCUU